rnacentral:rRNA from 1 species
UACGAAGGGGGCUAGCGUUGUUCGGAAUCACUGGGCGUAAAGCGCGCGCAGGCGGUCUUCCAAGUCAGUGGUGAAAGCCCGGAGCUCAACUCCGGAACUGCCAUUGAAACUGUAAGACUUGAGGAUGAGAGAGGUGAGUGGAAUUCCCAGUGUAGAGGUGAAAUUCGUAGAUAUUGGGAAGAACACCGGUGGCGAAGGCGGCUCACUCGGCCCGAUACUGACGCUGAGGCACGAAAGCGUGGGGAGCAAACAGG